UACGUAGGGGGCAAGCGUUGUCCGGAAUCAUUGGGCGUAAAGAGCGUGUAGGCGGUCCGGUAAGUCGGCUGUGAAAGUCCAGGGCUCAACCCUCGAAUGCCGGUGGAUACUGUCGGGCUAGAGUGCGGAAGAGGCGAGUGGAAUUCCUGGUGUAGGCGGUGAAAUGACGCAGAUAUCAGGAGGAACACCAAUUGCGAAGGCAGCUCGCUGGGACGUAACUGACGCUGAGACGCGAAAGCGUGGGGAGCAAACAGG
rnacentral:rRNA from 1 species